rnacentral:lncRNA from 1 species
UGCCCAUUUCCACGAAACGAAUGAGUAUGACGACCUCAAUUUGUACUCGAGGAAGGUCGCAUACAAUGAAGUCUUCGGAAUGAUGGCUAAGCUACAUCCCUAAGUAGACUUGGCUUGUAUGAAGGAGGAAUUCCUCCCAAUCGAGCAAUCCACUCCUGUAGAUGAUGCUGAAAGUUUUGAUGGAAAGAGCUUGGAACCUCAACGAGAUGAAGCUAUUACAUAAACUUAGGAUUUUAAUUUCAUUUCGUUUUAUUUUAUAUGUAGCUACCCCCUGUAUUUAGC